CCAGCCUGGGCGACAGAGCGAGACUCCAUCUCAAAAAAAGAAAAAAAGAAGAAAAAGGUUAGUUUUAUCUUCCCUUUCAGUAAACAAAGUAUAGGAAACCUCUGGCUGGAGGGACAGAAGACCCAGAUUUUCUUCCUGGUUCUACCAGCUGUGGGUCUGGAGGCAAGUCAUGAAAUCUCUCAAGGCCUCAGUUUCCAUCUGUGAAAUGGGGGAUGGCGUCUACCCUGAGUGCCUCGCAGCGGGGAUGUGAGUAUCAAGGCCAGCACUUUGUACUUUCCAAAGGCCUGUCCCCGUCCUCUCUUCCUCACCGUCCUGCACACAGAAACGUCAGGUGCAUGUGCUAACAUGAGAUGGGUCAUCUAGAUCUAACCUAGAUGACCCACCCUCAUACACACUGCAGAUAGGGAGUUUUCCCACUAACGAGCCUUCAGAAACAUUGAGUUUUUUCCUCUUUGUUUUUCAGGGGACACCCACUCACCUACACCUGUGUGAUGUGCAUGUGUGGGAGCUUGUGACGGUCACACAGUCAUGACAUGAAGAGAGCCAUGGGAAGGAGGCACAGGAAGUGGUUGGUGCUGGGGCACAAUAUGACAUUCAGCACCAAACAAGGCACAAGAGGUUCCUGGCCACCCGUGUGAUCAGAGUUCCACUGUGUGACCCGUUGUCACAGGUGCCACCUACAAGGGCCAGAUGCCCCUGAAGAACCUCAAGCAGGAUGGAUCUGCCUAAACUUCCACGUGUCCAGGCAGAACCAUUCACAUGGUGGAGUCCAGAAAGGGACAUCCUGCCCAGUUGAUCCUGACCACCUUGCUGCAUUCAGAACUCCCCAUAGUGAUGAGCAGCCCACUUUAUAAAGACUAGGAAUAAGCCCCACUGUCUCCUGUACUGGGCAGAGAAGCAGGGCCACCUUACAGAAUUGGAUCAGCUGCUCCAGCCAAGAAAGAGCUCACCACAUCUGUCCCUGAGCCAAGAGAUCAGUCUGGAGCAGUGGCCUCCACACUCCCACACUGGAGGAGGCUUCCUGACGGAGGCUGGCGGCCUUCACGAGUUGUUUCAGUCUGCUUUGAAUUCUGCAAAGAUCCAGUAUGUCCAGGCCCUUAAUCAACUACAAUGGUAGUCACCUUGAAUGUAAGGGGAGCUGCAGUUAGACUGGAUUGGAAGUAAAAGAGCAUUUUCAAAUA